AUCUCAGAGUUCUGAAUUCUAAUAAUUUGAACACCUAAGUUUUUUGUCUGUUGCGCUGAUGAUGGCUGAAAUCAGGGGGGGAUCUAGUAAAGGGCACGGGGGGACACGUGUCCCCCCUAAUUAAAAAAAAAAAAAAAAUUACCGCCGUGAUUUCGGGAAAAAAAUAUAAGUGUCCCCCUAAAAAAUUUGAAAAUUUAGGGGUGUCCCCGCGAAUCUUAAAAGUUCAAGUAAGUUGCAGUGGUUUAAUAAAAUUAAAGGAACUAAAAGGUAAUUUGUACACAUAUAUUUAUAUUAAAAAUAUGAAUAGAUAUAUAAUUUAAAAACAAAGAAAUAGUUUAUUCAUAUAAUCAUAUGUUUUAGUCUCUGUCUCUGCGGUCUGUUCAGUGUUCUCUCGAGCUUGUGCCUGGCUACCCACUGCCCAAGUAAUUCCCACCUGUCCGAGCUCCGCCUAAUCCAUGGAUGUUUCUUCUUCUGCAGAGUAAUUCCGGAAUCUAAAGAUUAAACAAAGUCAUGGGUAGCAGCAGGCUAACAGAGUAGCAGGCAGCAGCUGAAAAGGGGGAAUUCUCAAUUCUGUGAUUACAAAAUUAAGUUAAUCAAUUAUGCAUCGAUUCUAUAAAAAACUCCGAACAUCUCCCCCCUCAUCUCCAACACCUCCCCAGCCAAUAGUAAAUGAGCCUCCAAUUGUAGAUGUUCCUGAAUCUUACCCACCAGAUUUAAACCCAGAAACUGUAGUAGAUGAACUUGAAGCUGAUCCAGGAUUGCGAAAGAAUUUAAAUACUGUUGCUCCUACUGAGAAAGAGAGAGAUAGAAUUCGAAAGGCAUUCUUACUUAUGAGUUAAGAAAAUAUUUUGGUGUCCCCUCUAAGAUUAGAUCCUAGAUCCGCCCCUGGCUGAAAUAGAAUCUCGUUUAUCACUUAUGCACGACU